rnacentral:lncRNA from 1 species
UAGUGUCGCACCCAGUGUGACUGUCCCAGCCCUGACUGCAACAGAGUGCCCUAAUUACCCAAAAGCUACUCCCCAGGUGGUGUUUAGCUGAUGGAUCCUGUCACCCAUGCAGAUUCUUCUCUCUCUUGCCAAUUAUUUCAUGAGGAUGACAUCGACUUGCUGAGGGAAAAUGGUCCCCUGGAAGCGGAUUGAGGGGAGCAGUGGAAGUUCCCUCCCUGUCCCCUCCUUUGCUUAAAUCACCUGGGUGUCAGGUGAGAUGAAGUCCCCAUGAAAAGUUUCUCGUUGCCAUGGAAACGACGGUUCUGCUUUACCGGAGGCCGACUUGAAGCAAGUCUUUCUGACCCAUCUACAGAAAAAGAGAGAUUAAUUCUCUCCCUGGUCCCCCUCUUCCUUCCCUUUCCUCUCUCCUUUCUCUGCCCCUCCAUAUACCCUUGUAUAACCACAGGUAAGUAUAUAAAAUGUUUUGUGGGUACCAUCAUUGAUGGUAACUGCCAGAUAUUUCCAGCAUUCGCCUCCAUCGCCUUUGGUAGGUAAGUGGGGUCAUAUGAGUUUGCUGACAAGUCCUAUUGGUCACUUCUGAGUUGGGCUUUUAUUUGCCACCAAGUUAGAGCACUCUCCCCCUCUGCAUGUGACCUGCAAGGUCCAAGAAGGCAGUUGCUCUAUCACCCUGGUGACUACCUAGAGCUGACUGCCACUCACGACAGUGGGCACAAGCCUCCGCAAGGGUGGUUGGGUUGUCCCAAACCCACAGGGACAGGGCUAUUUGUUAAUUCGAUAAAGCGCCUUCACUGGCUAACACAUGUUUAGAAAGCCAGCUGCUGGGUGUGCCUGUUCUUCCUCCAUGGUAAACUGAGGAGGUAGGCACUGUUGUCCUGCCCACUUUGCGUUUAAAAAGCCCCAGCUGAAAGAACGGAAUUAAUUUAUCAGAGAACUCGGCAGAUGGCUGCCAGGUUUGUCUUCCCCACCUUUUAACCCGAGACCUUAACCUGAACACUCACCUCUGUGAGGCUUUGUGGGGCCACAGGAAAAGUAACACUUGCCACAGAUGCUUGCAAGCGAGAGUUUGCUUCAGCUUGUUGGCACCUCACAGCACGACAGGACUUUCUGCUCAUCCUCAAGAUCCACAUGAUUCAAAGGGAUGCAGUGGGGUUUGACUGUUUGUUUCUACAGCUCUAUUUUUAAGAAUGUGUCGUGUGUCUGUUGGGGGGAGGAGGAUUGUACAUGGGAGUGCAGAUGCCUUCAGAGACCUGAGGAAGAUCCCCUGGAAUUGACACUGCAGGCAGCGGUGAGCCACCUGACAUGGAAGCUGGGAACCAAACUUGGAUCCUUUGGAGUAGCAGCAUAGGCUCAUAACUGCUGAGCCAUCUCUCCAGCCCCAGGGAAUUUGAUUUCUGACAAGUCAUUAUAAUUUGAUGGUUGACAUUUCAUCAUUUUCUAGAAAACUAUGAUCUGGCAAAUAUAAACUCUCCUCACAGCAAGCAGCCCUCAGUAAGUUAGUUUUAUUAACC